rnacentral:pre_miRNA from 1 species
ACCGUGGCUUUCGAUUGUUAUUGUCAGUGUGGUGUAGUAACAGUCUACAGCCAUGGUUG